CUGAUGCAGCGACGCCGCGUGGGGGAUGACGGCCUUCGGGUUGUAAACCUCUUUCAGCACAGACGAAGCGCAAGUGACGGUAUGUGCAGAAGAAGCACCGGCCAACUACGUGCCAGCAGCCGCGGUAAUACGUAGGGUGCGAGCGUUGUCCGGAAUUACUGGGCGUAAAGAGCUUGUAGGUGGUUUGUCGCGUUGUUCGUGAAAUCUCACGGCUCAACUGUGAGCGUGCGGGCGAUACGGGCAGACUAGAGUACUGCAGGGGAGACUGGAAUUCCUGGUGUAGCGGUGGAAUGCGCAGAUAUCAGGAGGAACACCGGUGGCGAAGGCGGGUCUCUGGGCAGUAACUGACGCUGAGAAGCGAAAGCGUGGGGAGCGAACAGGAUUAGAUACCCUGGUAGUCCACGCCGUAAACGGUGGGUACUAGGUGUGGGUUUCCUUCCUUGGGAUCCGUGCCGUAGCUAACGCAUUAAGUACCCCGCCUGGGGAGUACGGCCGCAAGGCUAAAACUCAAAGAAAUUGACGGGGGCCCGCACAAGCGGCGGAGCAUGUGGAUUAAUUCGAUGCAACGCGAAGAACCUUACCUGGGCUUGACAUGCACUGGAAACACCUAGAGAUAGGUGCCCCCUUGUGGCUGGU
rnacentral:rRNA from 1 species